UACGAAGGGGGCUAGCGUUGCUCGGAAUGACUGGGCGUAAAGGGCGCGUAGGCGGUUUGUACAGUCAGGUGUGAAAUUCCCGGGCUCAACCUGGGGGCUGCACUUGAUACGUAUGGACUGGAGUGGGGAAGAGGGUCGUGGAAUUCCCAGUGUAGAGGUGAAAUUCGUAGAUAUUGGGAAGAACACCGGUGGCGAAGGCGGCGACCUGGUCCUUGACUGACGCUGAGGCAUGAAAGCGUGGGGAGCAAACAGG
rnacentral:rRNA from 1 species